AAGGAAUUAGCUCAGUGGUAGAGUAGUAGAUUGCAAAUCUAUUGGUCGCUGGUUCGAACCCGGCAUUCCGCU
rfam:Sphaeroforma arctica JP610 cont1.5549, whole genome shotgun sequence.